rnacentral:rRNA from 1 species
AUUGAACGCUGGCGGAAUGCUUUACACAUGCAAGUCGAACGGUAGAGGGGGCAACCCCUCGAGAGUGGCGAACGGGUGAGUAAUAUAUCGGAACGUGCCCAGUCGUGGGGGAUAACGUAGCGAAAGUUACGCUAAUACCGCAUACGAUCUAAGGAUGAAAGCGGGGGAUCGCAAGACCUCGCGCGACUGGAGCUGCCGAUAUCAGAUUAGGUAGUGGGUGGGGUAAAGGCUCACCAAGCCAACGAUCUGUAGCUGGUCUGAGAGGACGACCAGCCACACGGGAACUGAGACACGGUCCAGACUCCUACGGGAGGCAGCAGUGGGGAAUUUUGGACAAUGGACGCAAGUCUGAUCCAGCCAUUCCGCGUGCAGGAUGAAGGCCCUCGGGUUGUAAACUGCUUUUGUACGGAACGAAAAGGUUUCUACUAAUACUAGGAGCUCAUGACGGUACUGUAAGAAUAAGCACCGGCUAACUACGUGCCAGCCGCCGCCGUAA